rnacentral:rRNA from 1 species
UACCGAAUAUUGUCCGGAGCCGUGAAGGGUUCCGGGGAAAGGGAGGCCUCUGAUACAAGCUUUCGCCUUAAGAUGAGCCCAUGGCCCAUCAGCUAGUUGGUAGGGUAAAGGCCUACCAAGGCUACGACGGGUCGCUGGUCUGAGAGGACGACCAGCCACACUGGCACUGAGAUACGGGCCAGACUCCUACGGGAGGCAGCAGUGAGGAAUAUUGCGCAAUGGGGGAAACCCUGACGCAGCAACGCCGCGUGUGGGAAGAAGGCCUUCGGGUCGUAAACCACUUUUGCACGGGACGAAAAAGGGAUAUCGAACAAAUAUCCCCGAUGACGGUACCGUGAGAAUAAGCCACGGCUAACUCUGUGCCAGCAGCCGCGGUAAGACAGAGGUGGCAAGCGUUGUUCGGAAUUACUGGGCGUAAAGAGUCUGUAGGUGGUUUGUCAAGUCUUUGGUGAAAGGCCGUAGCUUAACUAUGGGAAUGCCAAAGGA